CAGCAACUGCUACUUUCCUUUCUCCCAACACACGCUUCCUUGGACGCCUUCUCAAACAUCAAUACUGAAGAGAGAGCCUCUUUGAAGGAAGACCCAUAACCACAGAAAGUUGAAAAGGAAAAGCUCUUUCGGUGCCAGAUUACCAAGAAAAAUAAAAGCCUAUGGAAUUGGGCUGAAGAUCUCAGAGCACGUCCCCCACGCUC
rfam:Pteropus vampyrus cont1.197929, whole genome shotgun sequence.